rnacentral:hammerhead_ribozyme from 1 species
GCGCUGCUGAGGAGUCCUAUACUAGGACGAAACGGCCAUCCAGCAC